rnacentral:rRNA from 1 species
CCGUAACGGGAAACCGUGGGACUUAACUACCGCAUAUCGUUCCGUUCGGGAUGAAAGCCGUUCGGGCGUCAGAGGAUCGGCCUGCGGCCAUUAUUUAAUCCUAGUUGGUAGGGUAAUGGCCUACCAAGGGUACGAUGGGUAGCUGGUCUGAGAGGAUGAUCAGCCACACUGGAACUGAGACACGGUUCAGACUCCUACGGGAGGCAGCAGUGGGGAAUAUUGGACAAUGGGCGAAAGCCUGAUCCAGCCACGCCGCGUGGGUGAUGAAGGCCUUCGGGUUGUAAAGCCCUGUCGGGAGGGACGAAUCAAUGACGGUACCUCCCAAGAAAGCACCGGCUAACUCCGUG